rnacentral:rRNA from 1 species
AUGCGGACGAGUGGUGCUGAUGGUUUUGGUGCGGAUGCUCCUGCUCGUAAGGCCACCACGACGGCGGUAGCCAUAGAGCACUUGCCUAAGAUCAUCAGAAGGCAGGAAAGCGGUCUGUCGUCGGAUCCGAAGCUUGACUCCAGACUCCCGCAACACGAGUUCGACUCCGAGUUUUGCGCCACCGAGAAGUACCAAAAGUUAAGUUGUGUGCACGGGUACACUCCCGCUCAAUGUGUAUGCACGGAGGGAUUCGACAUUGGUAGGUGGUUUCUCAGUUGCCCCUUAGAGGGAUAUGAGGCUUGUGCCUUUGUUAACUGCCUGGAUGAAGAAUGGCAUGGCAGGGCUCGGAGUGUUAUCACCAAGCUGGCAGAAGAUAACUUCCUCUUCUCUGCAUACCCCGCUCAAGUGCCCACCAUCUUCAUCGUGCCCGGCAGGCCAUGCUACACACUGCCACACACUCUGCAGCCAUGUCGACCUAUAGCAAGGAUGACAGUUCAGCCAGCAGUCUGGCGCCUGAUGAUAGUCAACAUCGGAAUCAUCCUGCUCGUCUGGACGCCACCUCCAGAGUCGUCAGUCAAAAACCAGAUGGACGAGGAGCCGUCGGAGGAUGAAGAAGAGGACGACGAUGAUGAGGAGGAGGAAUGGUCGAACGAGGAGGAGGAGGACGACGACAGCAACGGCGAUGACGACGGUGGCGGCGAUGAAAAGCCAACGGUCAGCGGCAAGAAGCGUCCUCACCGAGACGAUGUCGCGGGGCCAUCCAACAAGAACAACAACAAGAAGAAGGACUAA